rnacentral:rRNA from 1 species
AUUGAACGCUGGCGGCAGGCCUAACACCUGCAAGUCGAGCGAGCGGCGGAAGGGUGAGUAAUGUCUGGGAAACUGACUGAAGGAGGGGGAUAACUACUGGAAACGGUAGCUAAUACCGCAUAACGUCAGAUGUGCACAGAUGGGAUAAGCUAGUAGGUGGGGUAAUGGCUCACCUAGGCGAAGAUCCCUAGCUGGUCUGAGAGGAUGACCAGCCACACUGGAACUGAGACACGGUCCAGACUCCUACGGGAGGCAGCAGUGGGGAAUAUUGCACAAUGGGCGCAAGCCUGAUGCAGCCAUGCCGCGUGUAUGAAGAAGGCCUUCGGGUUGUAAAGUACUUUCAGUCGGGAGGCGUUACCGACAGAAGAAGCACCGGCUAACUCCGUGCCAGCAGCCGCGGUAAUUC